GUGGGUAGUUUGACUGGGGCGGUCUCCUCCCAAAGAGUAACGGAGGAGCACGAAGGUUAGCUAAUCCUGGUCGGACAUCAGGAGGUUAGUGCAAUGGCAUAAGCUAGCUUGACUGCGAGCGUGACGGCGCGAGCAGGUGCGAAAGCAGGUCAUAGUGAUCCGGUGGUUCUGAAUGGAAGGGCCAUCGCUCAACGGAUAAAAGGUACUCCGGGGAUAACAGGCUGAUACCGCCCAAGAGUUCAUAUCGACGGCGGUGUUUGGCACCUCGAUGUCGGCUCAUCACAUCCUGGGGCUGAAGUAGGUCCCAAGGGUAUGGCUGUUCGCCAUUUAAAGUGGUACGCGAGCUGGGUUUAGAACGUCGUGAGACAGUUCGGUCCCUAUCUGCCGUGGGCGCUGGAGAAUUGAGGGGGGCUGCUCCUAGUACGAGAGGACCGGAGUGGACGCAUCACUGGUGUUCGGGUUGUCAUGCCAAUGGCAUUGCCCGGUAGCUAAAUGCGGAAGAGAUAAGUGCUGAAAGCAUCUAAGCACGAAACUUGCCCCGAGAUGAGUUCUCCCUGAGACUUUAAGUCUCCUGAAGGAACGUUAAAGACGAUGACGUUGAUAGGUCGGGUGUGUAAGCGUAGCGAUACGUUGAGCUAACCGAUACUAAUGAAC
rnacentral:rRNA from 1 species